GACAGAGGAGGCAAGCGUUGUCCGGAUUGACUGGGCGUAAAGCGCACGCAGGCGGAUGCGCGCGUGGGGUGUGAAAUCUGGCCGCUUAACGGCCAGGCGCCAUCCCAUACGGCGCGUCUGGAGUGAUGCAGAGGUCGAUGGAAUUGCCGGUGUAGUGGUGAAAUGCGUAGAGAUCGGCAGGAACACCCAGGGGGAAACCAGUCGACUGGGCAUCUACUGACGCUGAGGUGCGAGAGCGUGGGGAGCGAACCGG
rnacentral:rRNA from 1 species